CGAGGUGGCACCCUUGCUCGGCUACUUUCUGCAUUUCUUGCCCCUCGUUGCCUGACUUUGUUAGGGUUUUCUUUGCUAACCUUCAUCCCCACCAGAAGGGCCGUGGCUCAGGAGGCACAUGUUUCCGCAUGCCCUUCCACACAACCCUGUCUAGACCAUGCCCCCUGGAAAUAAACAUUUUUAAAAAGAAAGGCUACAGAUACAUGAUAUUUGCACCAUAGCCACUGCAGUAAAAUGAAGUGGUUCCAUGUUCCAUAAAGUCAACCUUUAGAAAUCAGUGUGCAGUGUGGAUGGCCCUGCCAAUGAGCUUACAUGCUAGAGG